CGAACUGCGGUUUCUCCUUCAACACGUCGGCGGCGGUUUCGAAUUUUCAGCCGACUAGUUUUGUUCGGAACCAAUUUCAUCCGAUUCUGAGGUAGUUUGGAAACUUUUGUGAGUUUGUAUGUGUGUUUUGGCUUUGGCUUUAAUCGAUUGCUUUAUAAUGGCCGUUGAAUACAUUGCCAUUGUAUUUUCGACUCGUUUAUAGAAAACAAUGAUAUUGUUUCUUUAGCAGAAGGGGCUCCCAAUUCCAGACCUCGUUUGCCUACAGAAGAAUCACAUCAACGCCGUCUUCUUCUUCCUUCCUACACCCGCACUUGACUUUUCCACUGAAACAACAACCAGAGAAGUAUGACCAAUCGAACACUGGACUCUCUUCCCCCAACCGAAACCCUAGAAAUCAAAACCGGCCUCUCCCUGACCCCGCGCGUCAAACUCCUCCUCUCCGUCCACCGCGCCGACCACUCCGUCAAACCCCUCCACGAGUGGAAGCUCAAGCGCUCCCUCAUCGGCUUCCUCAGAGCCUCAUUCUCCGUCACCCUCUCCGACGACGACCACAUCGCCGUUAAAAAAUUCAAGGACGCCUAGAAGCGCAAACACGAGGGCUCCGUCGCUUGCGGCGCUCUGUUUAUAAGGGAUCUUGGGUUUCUGUCGAAGCCUUUUUCGAGGUUGGGGGUUGGUGGUGAUGGGAGAGAGGGUGUUGAGGAGCUGGAGAGGAAGUUUGUGGAGUGGAGGAGAGGGGUUGUGGAGAAGAUGAGUGUUGCUGUGCCGGUUACGGAUGAUUUUGAGGGGAUGAUAUUGUUUCUUUUGCUAGUUUGCUUUUGAAUUCGACCUUUUCCACUCUCCGAAAGUUUCUAGUGAGGAGCCAAUUUUUUUUAUCUCGCGUCUCUCACGCCAACCUGAAAUCCCCGAAUUUCUACUAUUUAUAUAUAGAAUAUAGCGACGUUGAAGGAAGCUCCGGCUGUGAAGUCUCUAAACAAAUCUACCGGUCGCAGGCGAUUUGUGUUCAAGACACUCUAAGCGCCUUGAGGAAAUUGAUAUUGAUGUAUUCCGAAAUCUUGAUCCUCUCAAGUCUGAGCCCUCCGAUGGGUCCUCAUUUUUCCGAGACUGUCUUGUGGAAUGGAGGGUACCUUUUUCUUUAGGCUCUUUUAUGGGUGAAUUGGAAAUUGUUUGUUGUAAUUGUAAUUGUUGAGAGAAUGGCUGAAUUGAGAAUUUGAGCUCUUGAGAAUAUCAAACAACGUGCUAAAAAUGUAACAGGUCAUUUGCAUCAAUUUAAUGUCAUGUUCAAUAAGAAAGAUAUUAGGGCUUUUUUUGCAUCAGUUCAUUAUACAUGUUACUAGAUGAUGUGUUACACCUUGAAUUAUUUAAAUAUGGAUACAAUUGUUAACUUAGUAUCCGGAAAUCGUAAACUUUUUGUAUACCUAUGAAAAUGUGUUUGUAAAUUUCCGUGUAUGUGUUGUGUCAUGUCCUAAUUUGGAGAAGAUAUUCGAGUUGUUUGUCCAUAUCCCUUGUAUUCAUGUCUGUUUUCUUAGCUGGUAACAUUGCCUGUAUGCUUAGUGCUUACAUAUUAGGGAGUUCAUGCUUUUCACAAGAGUGAGAUUGAGUACUUUGUAUUUUUGGUAUUUAGAGUUAUGUAUAUCAUUAUAACAACGAAAGAAUCAACCUGUAGUGCUCCAUUGGCAGUGAUUGAGUUCAUGUUUAAUUUGUGUUUGUUUUGUAUACUUCAGCUUGCUAGUAUGUUGGUACUAAUGUUUGUAUUUUUUAACUGUUAUUAUAGGAUUUUGGGGUAUUAUGCUAAUUUUGUUUUGGGCUUUAAAUGGGGUAAUUUUUCACGCGAGCUUUGUCUAUGUUUUCUUGGUCAAACUUGAUCCUUUGAUGUGCUCAAUAAAAUCUCCAAGUGUUCGAUUAGUUGGCUGCCAAAAUUUAAACAGUCCCAAUACAUAUAGUUUGCUAUGGUUUGAACCUUUAUCUUUACCAGUACCUUUCAGAUCCAGGCCCACAUUACAAAAAGUGUUAAUAUCUAGACCAUAUGAUUAUGCAGAGUAGGCUCCAUUUGGUUAUAGAAGUUUCCGUUGUGGUUAAAAGAAUGUAUUUUUGUAUCUUUAUUUUCCAGUCUUAGAAUAUUUCACUUCAAUGCAUAGCAAAAUUUUGGUGAAAGAUUGGAGUCCUACCACAGGUUGAUGGUAGCAUUGUCUAGAGAUCUUUUGGAGCACUUUCCCUGUGAGUUCCUUCUUGACUUGGAUUUGUAUAUCAUUAUGGUGUUAUGUGUUAAGCAUCGUGUUUUAUUCUUCCGCAUAUCUUUACAUUUACUUUCGUUUAUUAACGGUUUUGAUUUUUCGCGUUGAUUGUUAAGGAAAUUUCCUCUCCUUUGAUUUUAUAAAUGAAAAGAUAUAGUAGUUUUGUGUGAUUCUAGUGAAGUUGUUGCUUAUAGUUACGUUAGAUAUGGAUUUCUCUUUGUUUAACAUAAUAUUUUGCACUUGGAUAUCA